AAAGAUAGAUCACUUUUAUUUGCUGCUGCUUCAUCAUGUCUCUUUCUUUGUCUCUGAUUUUACUCUCUCCUGUGACAAUUGGAGUAGGACUUGCAACAUUUCUUUAAGAUCAGUACAUAAUGAAAGGAUCUGUCAGGUGGACCAACCUUCCAUGCCAUGCCAAUCACCUUAUCUAACCGCAGCAGUAGCUAGAGAAAGCAAAAUCUACUACUCAACAUUCAAGCAUCUUAUCAUCUCAAAACAUCAGGCCUCUCUCCUCAUCCUGUACCUGAAGAUUGCCCUGGAGAAGGAUGUGGAAGGCACAAAUGAAACUUUAAAAGAAGAGAGGGAAGAAAAAGAAUAAAAGUAACAUCAUAGAAGUAUUGUAAAAAAUAUUAUAAAGGUCACUGAGAUGUGAGUGUAAAGUCUGAGGUAUAAGUUAACUCAUGCAGCACUUAUA